CAAGGGUCCCAGUCUCCUACAAACUUCCUGCACACCUGGGGAAGGCAGCAGCUCUGGGGUCUGCAGGGGGGGCACCUCAUGGUUCCUAACUGUCCUAGAAAUGAAAAGGGAUUCAAAGAGACCCACUUGAUAACCUGUCAGGCUGCAUAGCAGUGAGGCUUCCUCCUUUAGUAGGUUCUUGAAAUUGUAUAUCUAUAUACAGAUAGAUAAAUAUACAUAUACAAUAUACAGAGUGGCUGCAGGUUUGCUACAGCAAGGCAGUGGGUGAAGGUGAUGGGUGUGCAGUGGUGGACUCUGGAACCCUCCAAGGGGCUCCCCUGCUGGACGCAGAACUGGAGCCUUUGAGCGGCUGACCAAGACAAAAAGGAAGAGGGACGAGACAGAAGGCAGGGCCGCAAGGAUGCAAGGCCUUGUCUACUAAGUCCUACUCUCUCAUGUAGGCCAUUACCCCCGACCUAUCUGAGCUUCAGUUUCUCUGAAAGGAAAAUGGGUCAUCAAGAGACAAAUACACAGGAGGAAAGGAAAAAUCACGAGGGCAAAAGGUCCAGGGUGAAUGGAGGGAAGGAAAAAAUUGCAGAGAUCAAGUAGAACCACAGACAGGAGAGAGCCUUUGGCAAGAUAGCGGCAGGGAGGUAAAAGAGAGGGGAAGUGAUGGGAAGCCAUGAAGAAUUGGGUGGCAAGGAGAAGGAAGCUAAGGGUGGAACGGUGGAGACUUGGGGAAGGUAGAAUCAGGAACCAGGGCCAAAGUGCAGAAGAAACAGCCUACUGGACCAGCCAGUGUUGGAGGGUGGACCUGGGACGUGCAAGACAUUUUCUUCUCAUUCCAGUCAGAGGCAGGAGACAGGAACUGAAGGGGGCCAGCUAAGGCAGGACAGGAGGAGGGCAGAAAGCUCAAAGUGUCCUUCUCCUGUCCCCUCAUCCCCUCUCCCUCCAACCCUUCCAAAAGCCUUGCCCCAGAAACAAGGGAAUAGAACCCAGGAAGGUUGAGUAGAGGGAUGGGGUUUGGGCAUCCUUUCCAGAGAGAAAUGAUAUAGCUUAACAGUGAUCAGCUGAAUGGCCGGGAAACACCCUCAUAAUGGUGGAGGGCUGAGCAUCUAGUACCUUAGCCUAGGGGAAAGGGACAGGCUUGAGGUCUUCCCGGACUCCUCUAGCCGAGGUCUCCUGUCCAGGGAAGCUCAGGUGUGAGGGAGACUCAGAAACGGCUCCCAGGUGGAAAUUGGGCUGCCUCCUCUGGGGAGGCUGCUUGAAGCCUAGUGGGUACAGCACAGAAUAGCCAGGAGAGGGGGGUGCCAAGGCAUGCCCUCCUCACAAAAGCCCCCAUGAGGCUGCUCUCAAAACCCUAGCAGGAGCACCUCUACUUUUCCUUCCUCCAAUCCCAGGGGGUGGGGGAACUCACUUUGGACCCAGAGAAGCCCUCACAUAGUCCUCCUGCUGGCCAAUUCUGCUAUCUCAGGUCCCAGUGCCCUGGGAGAUGAAGGCCAUUGCUGCAGAUGAAAACCAGAAUCAGACAUCUGGGGAAGAAGUGUGAUCCCAAGGAAGGAAAUAAAUGGCUCCCAAAAUUGCUCAGUGCUCCCCUACUAAGCAGGAGGAGAUGGAUGUAGGAUUUCUCUUCAGGCAGGGCUCUGGAGCAUCUAACUGUGGUGUUGCUGUUGGAUCAUGCUCAUACAUGUAGAGAGCCAGCAUAAAAGGAUUUUGUGGGGAAGGUCCAUUAAAACCUUUCUAGGUAAAUCAAAGUUCAAUAGACCCAACUGCCAGGCAUCCUGGCAGGGGUGGUGUCCUGGACAGGACACCACACCACUCACUUCCCUUUGCAUUUCCCUAUUGCCACUCUCCUUUGAUAUUUGUUCAGGAAUUCACCCAUCUGUAAGCUCAUUGCUUUAUCAAAUAUUUGUUGAGCUUUGCUGGGCAGAGGGGAUAUAAAAAUGAAUGAGACAAAGUUCCUGCAUUCAAGUACCUUCCUGGGUAGUGAGAAAGGGCAGACUGACAUGCUGAGAAUGAAGAGAGAAAUAUAGGAUGCAGGCGGAUGGCUUAGGUAGACACAUCCCUUAGUCCCUGCUCUCAUGGGUAAAUACAGCUACUGGGAGGAAGUUAACAUCAAAAAAUCCUCCAGGGGAGUCAAUAUUUGUUGCUUCUCACCAGGCAGAUAGGAAGUUGGAAACCAGAAAGUUCUUUGCCCAUUCGGGAAUUUAGAGUCUAAAAUCAAAACAUACUCACACGUAUUAAUCAGGGUCCAUCCCUUGAGCAGCACCGAUAUCAGGGAAAAGAAAACUACUUGGUGAGUUAGGAUACAGCGGGAGGGGUCUCAAAGACAGCCAUUGAAAAUGCCCCCAAAUGCUGGAGACCUCAGGUUUGAAGGGGUUCUGAUGGCCUUAUGGACUUAUAAGGGACAUGGUUCAGAGGUUUCCCCAGACCAGCACAGGACUCAGGAAGGGGGAGCAGGGAAGCCCCCAGGAUCUAGAUUUUGGGGAUGUCAGUGCUACAGGGACUGGGCUUGUGACUGGAAGCUGCCUCUUUGGUGUCCCCAGUUGAAGAGCAGAGGUCCAGGAUGGGUCCCAAGAAGAUGGGGACAGCCCAGAUGAUGGUCAAUGCAGUCUUGGCUGGCGGGGGAAGGGGGUUCCUGGAAGGGGCCACGAAGAGGUGGAGUGACACUGGAGUAUCACCAAGGUGGUGCUUCCUUGCCACCAGAAAGCCUGGCCUGAGGAGGAGAAAGGAGGAAGAUGACUCAGCUGGAGUGACAGCCUGCCUACUCCCUGCUGCCCCUGUAUUGGGCUAUCACUGCUGGGGAGUGCAUCCAAACAGAGGGCUAUUUGAUAAGUCUGAAAUAUCCACAGGACUCCCAACUCAGGAGAGACAAAUGGGCAGAAACAGAAAAGUAAAUGCUGAGAUUAUAUCUGAAGAAAGAGAAAGAGCACAGCAAGAGCAGAGCAAAGAGUUAGGAUGAAAAACCUCAUGGUGUCAAAAAAGAAGGAAGGAGAGGAGAGGAAGAAGAGAGUGUCCCAUAGGAAACCAGAGUCAGAGUGAGGUCAGGACAAGGCUAACAGCACAGGAAGAGGUGACUGGCUGGACCUCGCCCAAAGAGAAUUGAGCCUGAAGGCUUCAGGGAUAUGGUCUGUGCUUCGUCCCUCUGCCCCUAACUCUGGGGACAUGCCUCUCUUGGGGACAGAAUGCAGAUGAAGAGAAACAGAAGUGGCCAAGUCAAGAAGCCACGGGCUGAGGGUGCCCCAGCUGCCCACCUCCCUUGGGGCAAAGCUCAUCCCUAGUUUACAAGGAGUGCAUGACAACUGGCCCUUGUCCUGGGCCAGUCCCAAGCCCAUACGGGCAACAGGGCAUGUGAUUUUGAGCCUCUCUCCCACCUCCCAGCCCUAUCCAGGUGUCUCUGGGAAGGGUUCUUGGAGCUUCCCCCUACCGUUAAAGGAAUCCCUCCAGCAGCUGCCCUGCCUGACCAGGCACAGCUGACUCUGAGGAGAAGAUGCUCGCAGCCCCAUACCUUUUUUUUUUUUUUCUUUCAGAAAGAUCUGCAUCUUAACUACAGUCUGUUUCCCACUGAGAGGAAGCCAGUUUCCCAAGCAGCCCUGGGAAGCUCAGUUUUGUGGAGGAUACAAGGGACCCUAGCUCAGCCCUAGGCAGGCAGGCUGGGAAAGGAGUGGCCCUUUGUCUGGGGAGGGACUGGGCUGCUCUGUGCCCAGAAACUACAUGGAUAAGCAGUUGCAUGAUAUGCACCCGAAGCCAGUCCCCGGGAAGCCCUGCCAUUGAGAGUCAGUGCCACCACACGGCCCUCUCUGCACCCCUAGACCCCACGGAUAGGGAGAAGGGUUGGUCCUGGGCCCAGAGGACCCCUCAAGUGGAGUGAGGCUCCCCAACUGCUCUUGCCCAGAGAGCUCUGCCUAUGAAGGGGCCCACCAAAGAGACCAGAGCUGAGAGAUGGUACAAGCUCCCCUGCGGCAGUUGUGGUUGUAAAAAGGGGGGUCUCAGGAUGAGAUCUGGGUGCCUGAAAAAUGGUCAAAUCACAGUUCAGUUCAAGAAGCAAGCAGCAGUAGUCUGCUCCACGAGGUUAGGCUGAGGGCUGCUCUUCAGCUUGGCUCCCAAGGUGGUUUGCUCUAGAUCAGCUGCUUUGAGUAUUUGACCCGUGAGUGACCUGCCACUUUCAGGUCGUCUUGGACCGCAAGCCAAAGUCUCACAGAAGUUGCCACUCAUGACUUGCCUGAGUACCUGGCACCAAAACAAACAAAGCCGGCCUGCUUUCUUUUCCUUUCUCAUUCCACCACUCUCCACAGUCAUGUCUCCAUUCACUGAUGUAUUGUCCACUGAAGAGCUAUUAUCUUGGCCUUGAUACGAGACAUAAAAUACGAACAGCUAUUAACUUGGCCUUGAUACGAGAGAGUGGCACAUAGUCCCUAACUUUAAGUAGCUCACUGCAUCCUGAGGAAAGAUAUGGUCCUCAUGGGGAGGGGGUAUUGGUGAUGCUCGCUGGGGCCUUCCUUAGACUUCAGAUAUCAAGCCCUCAUAGCCUAUCUCUUCUAUUGUACCUCACAGGGAACUAAAAUAACUUUAGAUUGUAAAGGUAGCUAAAAUGUUACUAGAAAACAUCUUCAAUUAGAAAAUAUUUUAGGGGUGGCAAGGAGUGAGCAGGCCUCUGCCCAUCAAGGUCUCAUGGUCUUACAGGAGACACUACUUUGGGUGGACAUGGUUCAGAGGUUUCCUCAGACGAGCACAGGACUAGGGGAGAAGGAGCAGGGAAGCCCCCAUGAUCCAGAUUUUGGGGAUGUCAAAUCCCAUUGUCUGCCUUUAUGCCAUACUGGCAUUUUAAGGACCAGGAGAAAUCUUCAGGGCUACAUGUCCAAUGCGGAGAGUGCCCUGAAAUUCUGGAAACUCCAUCUCUUAAGGGUUCUGAUGGUGUCAUAUGGGCUUAUCAGGAACAAGCAUCAGAUGCUUCCUGCGACCAGCACAGGACUAGGGGAGGCGGAGCAGGGAAGGCCCCAGGAUCCAGGUUUUGGGGAGGUCAGUGCUGUAGGGGCUGGGCUUGUGUCUGGAAGCUGCCUCCUUUUGUGUUCCCAGUUGAAGGGCAGAGGGUGGUGGGCUGCUCUUAAGAAGAUGGGACAGCCCAGAUGAUGGCCAAUGGGAGUCUCGGGGGAUCCUGAAGGGGGCCAAGAGGAGCGGGGGUGAGGCUACGGUAUCAUUCAAGGGUAUCAUUCACAUGUUGCUUCCUUGUGAUUAGAAAGCCAGGUUUGGGGAAUGAUUAAAUGGUAAAUUCUGUAAUGCGUGUGUUUCAUUGCAAUUUUCUAGAUAUAGCAUGGGGAGGAGAGAAGGUGUCCUCCCUUCAGCUUUGAGGAUGGAUAGGAGUGACGUGGGGUCAGAACCCCUCUCUGCUGUCACUCUUUGUGGAGCCCCAACACAUUCUUUACAAAGAAGGAAUGCCAAAGGAGGGCAUUUUCAUCUAACUCAAACGCCUAGAGACCUCGGGACCUUGGAGAGACAGAGACAGAGGUUCUGGGGUUAUAUUUGUGGACUGAGACAGGGGGAGAUAAAGCCCCCUGAGAGAGAACAAAAACAGUAGUGGGGAAGAUAUGAUCAGAGACAAAAUUAGAGACAGUAAAAGUGGAAACAAGGCAUCCAGAGGGGCAGAGAGCCAUAGCUAUAGGGGAAGAAGAGAGAAGUACAGAGACCAAAAUAUGAAAUUGUUGGGCAUAGUGAGCCUUUGGUUGGCUGUCUUCCAGGGGAAGAGUCAGAUUCCUCUAAAUUUCAUGGUUUAAAAAGACAGAAAUUGAGUCAUUAGAGAUUUUCAGUGGAGGAAGGACAAGGGAUAGACAGGUCUCUCCUGAGACAGAACCACCAGUAUUCUCUGUGAUUCAGAGAUACAGGUUACUUGCCUUAUCUAGAGUGGCUCAUCUCCGUGGCUACCAAUUAUCUUGCUACCUUCUGGCCAGGUGUAGGGCCCAAAUUAACUAAGAAGACUGAAGAGAAGAGAGAAAGAAGUGAGAGAGCAGAGACCUGGCUGGGCAUGACACUGCUACUAUCCUCUGAGUCAAGCAAUUCCCAAAGUCGCCAGGUUAGCUGAUCCUUGGCCCCAUCUGUAGGGAUUCUUUUUGGAGGAAAUAUGCAGAUGGAGGGUGAUGGCGGCACACAGGGUACCUGAGACAAGUGCUCAGCCUUUAGAGACCCAAUUCCUGCUGCUGCCCUCAUUAGCUACCCCUCAGCAGCCAGGGACCCACAGCCCUGCCCUGCAGGCUCUGGACAGCUUUGGUCAUAGCUCACUUCCAGCCUGGAUGGGCCUGGUGGACAGUUCUGUGCUUGUUUGGGAAGUCCCCCCGCUUCUGCCCUUUAGUCCUUCCUCCUCCUAUCUAGUCUCUCCUUUCCAAAGAGCUUUAAACUUUCUCAAAAGCAGAAAGGCGAAGACAUGUGGAUGAGUUUCUUCCCCAAAGAAAGUUUAAGCUUAGUAGUGGACAUUUCUUAACAAAAUGAAAAAGAACCAGGGUCAGGGGCUGACUACUUUUCAGACAGUGGGUGGUUAUUCAUGGUCAGGUGAUUUCCUGACUUCUGCGAAAGCCCAGCCCAGAAUGUUUAUCACUUUAUUCCCUUCCAAAGCCCAGGCAGCCUCAAGAAACCUUCUAAGCGGGUCCCAGGCAGAACUCUCUUAGAAGGAGAACAAACUAAGCCUGCAAAUGGGAAUUCAGAGAAGCAGAAGACUUAUCAAGAAUGUCCAAAUCACAAUAAUUAAAUAACCAAGAUACCCUAACCCAUAGUCUAGGGCCCGGGACUAGUCUGGUUCUGAUAGGCUUUUCCUUCAUCAGUGCCCUUUGACUCCAGCUAACUUCAAGAGACUUACUCCUCUAGGAUAGCCCACACAUCCCAUUGAUGAAUUUGCUAAGUUAGAGAAGGAUCUGCAUCCUUGCCCUGUGAGAACCUUCUGCCUUCAGUAAGCUCCCAAUGUGAAGGGGGCAUACAGACAAUCAAGUGUGCAAUCCUGUGGCCCCAUGUUAAAUGCAAUAUAAUGUCCCCAUGCCCUGAUGCCUAGGAGAGAACCCUAGAGUCAUCAAGGCAGCCAUAGUAAAAGACUGAAACCUGGCAAUCUCUUUAAUGGAAAUGCGUUUGGAGAUAUUUGGCCUGUCCUCAGAGUAGCACAUGACAAUGAAACAGGCUCUCACUCCCCAGGGGGGCAGAGGUUUCCAAGAUUGUGGUCUUGGGUGACUGAAAUACAGUGCUUGGAUCAGGAACUCUUUGCUAUUUCCAGGUGGAGACUAGAAAACCAAGAGAAGGGAAAUGAUGGGUCAGGAAUUUGUGCCUUGUGGACCAUCCCUUUCCUGUCUGUGGAGCCUUCCAAGAAAGAAGGAAGGCAGCAAUGAGAACAAUCUGUCUAAUGAGGUUGAACUCAAGCAAUAGAUCAGGGCUCAUGGGACUUGUCUUGAUCUGUAGUUUUGGCUACACCUGCUUGGGAAAGCCUGGUCUGGGAAUUCCUGCCACCACUAACUCACUGACUUCCAGUUGCCUGGGAUCUAUUAGAAUUCUUCCAUUGCAGAUGUUCUGACACACUGAAGCUAUGCCUUACCUGACAAGCUAAUAUGCAAUUCCUUCUAGAACUCAUGGAUUUAUAUUCCUCUUCUCUCCCCACUCUUGUCCAGACCUUUACAUCCUGGAUUCUUUACCAUUUCUGCCCCUGGGACUCUUGGAUAUCAUUGUCACUCAUACCCAUAAAGCACCUUAGGAACU